rnacentral:rRNA from 1 species
GAUGAACGCUGGCGGCGUGCCUAAUACAUGCAAGUCGAGCGAACAGACGAGGAGCUUGCUCCUCUGACGUUAGCGGCGGACGGGUGAGUAACACGUGGAUAACCUACCUAUAAGACUGGGAUAACUUCGGGAAACCGGAGCUAAUACCGGAUAAUAUAUUGAACCGCAUGGUUCAAUAGUGAAAGACGGUUUUGCUGUCACUUAUAGCUGGAUCCGCGCCGCAUUAGCUAGUUGGUACGGUAACGGCUUACCAAGGCAACGAUGCGUAGCCGACCUGAGAGGGUGAUCGGCCACACUGGAACGGAGACACGGUCCAGACUCCUACGGGAGGCAGCAGUAGGGAAUCUUCCGCAAUGGGCGAAAGCCUGACGGAGCAACGCCGCGUGAGUGAUGAAGGUCUUCGGAUCGUAAAACUCUGUUAUUAGGGAAGAACAAAUGUGUAAGUAACUAUGCACGUCUUGACGGUACCUAAUCAGAAAGCCACGGCUAACUACGUG